rnacentral:rRNA from 1 species
UACGUAGGGUGCGAGCGUUGUCCGGAAUUAUUGGGCGUAAAGAGCUCGUAGGCGGUCUGUCGCGUCGGUCGUGAAAACUUGGGGCUUAACCCUGAGCUUGCGGUCGAUACGGGCAUGACUGGAGUUCGGUAGGGGAGACUGGAAUUCUCGGUGUAGCGGUGAAAUGCGUAGAUAUCGAGAGGAACACCUGCGGCGAAGGCGGGUAGCUGGGCCGACACUGACGCUGAGGCGCGAAAGCCAGGGGAGCGAACGGG